rnacentral:misc_RNA from 1 species
GGAGGCUGCCAUUAUAAGUACUGCCUUUGAGCUCAUCAUUUCGAACUCACAAGCUAAUAAGCUCAUUAUAGUAUAGACUUCUGAGUUAUUUUGAGAGCAUUAGAGCAAGAUAAUUUUUUUUUCCUCCUUUAUAUUUCUUCAUGGCUCCAGUGGGUAGCUUUAUUCAUAAGGCCUUGCUUCCAAUGGUCACUUCCAGCAGGCUCAGCAGUAAAAAUAUGAUCGUGUAGGUCUAGUUAUUCAUUCAUUGUAACUUUUACUGCUGUUCAAAUCAUGCAAAUUAUGCGUAUCAAAUUUCAAAUCAAUAUAUAUUAAUUAACACUGUUAAAAAUGUUUUUCCUUUGUGUAUCAGAAGAUUUGCUACACCAAGUCGGCCAAAGCCCAGCAAUGGGAAGCCACCAAGUCGGCCAAAGCCCAGCGAAGGGAAGCCUCCACAGAACAACGAAGUACCAAAAGGGAAGGUUACUCUUUCUAGCUUCGAUAGUAGUGAGACAGAAAGCAAGAAAAGCAAGGGAAAAAUGGAUGAUGGCGGCAUUGCAAUGGAUUCCAAGGCCACCAAAUGAGCUCCACAUGCUGCAUGCUUAAACUGUAGCUGAUGCAUAAUCUUAUAUUAGAGAAGUCAAUCUCUUCUAGCUAUCUUAGAAGUUAGCUCUCAAUAACAAGUAUGAGGUUGUUGUAUGUUGCUACUGUUUGCUUAUGUUUUAGUGGAGAAAGACAUAGGUCUUUCUGUGUGCGUAUGUAUGAAAUAAUUUAAUUUGGUUUGGAAUGUUUGAUGAGUAGUCGGUGUUGUUUACAUGCAAGUAGUUAAUUUCUAUGACAUAUAUUUUUGUAGGGAAAUUUUUAUAUAUGCC